GCAGUUAUGUCACAGGCCAGCCUCAUUCCAUGACAGAAUGUCCAUUGUGAAGUGCACACACACCCCCUCUGGUCCCCCCAGUACAUCAGCCCCACCUCCCAGAGAAAUGGGCUCAGGGUCGAGGUGUAAGAGUGACCAUGGCAAAUAGCACUGAGCGGCGCGGUUGUAACUUUAGUCUUUACCAUUGGAUAAUGUUUUCCUUUCAUUGGUGUAGACUAGGUCCAUGUGCCUGGGUCCUGGGGCAGCAGUCCUAAAACAGGAACUAGGAAAAUGUGCGGACAUCAGUUUAACUGCCUUUUUAAAGAGGUUUCAUGUUACAGAAUAGAACAAAUAGAAAGCAUUAGAGAUCUUUUUGUGGGUGUGUCCCUUUUUAAACCAUACUUCUUAAUCUGCCUCAUGCCUCAUGUCAAUGGAUCCCAUGUAAGCUCUUAGCUACUGCUCCAGCAUCAUGACCACCUACCUGCUGCCAUGCCACCCACCAUGAUGGUCAUGGACUCGUCCUCUGAGACUCCAUUAAUAUUCAUGGGCUUGGAAACAGAGCACCGCCAGGUAUCAGAUGAACCGAAGGAACCUUACAGGAGAAACAAGAAAACACUUGGAAAACGUGUAGAAUGAAGACAAGACAUCCCUAAAGAAGGAGAAAGCUGACUCCUAAAAGUUGUCCUCUGACUUCCACACCUGUGGCAUGGCAUGUUGUGUGUCUGCAUGCACACACAUAAAUAUACUCAAGAAGCCAUCUAAUCAACGAUGGGUGAACAGGAAAGAAACAGUAUUGGGAGUCUAUCAGUGGAUGCUCACUGCCCAGAAGAGACCUUCCUUUGAGUGAGGCAGCUUUCCUUGGCUGAAGCAAUCCAAAGAAGACAAACUGCUAUUACUAAGGCGGGGCAAUGCAUCAUCCAAGAUGGUCUGUUGCCUGUGGCAGCGGAGCCUCUUUCCUCAGCUCAGUUCUGGAAGCAGCUCCUUCAGGAUGCUAGAAGACCUCUUUUCAUGGUAUUGACUUACAGAGAAGGUCAGUGGACCAAGUAGAGCCCCUGCUGCUGCAGCAGACCAUAGUCCUCUCCCUUCUGUGCCCUGCCUUCCAGAUCCUUGCUGGGGAUGAGCACUUGUGAAAGUCUGAGUGAUUUAUCUAGUGGAGUGCCUCAGAAUCCCAGCACUGUUCUAUUUCCCUUCCUGCUUACCUUCUCAGGACGUGCCAGCACCAAAAGUUAUGUACAUUGAUUAUCUCAAUGUCAAACAAUGCUUCAGUGGUGUGGCAGAUCUGCGGUCUCUGGAUGACAAUCAGUUACUCUAAGCAAGAUCCUGUUCUGGUUAAAUGUUGGUCCUUGGCAUGAGGGGCCCUAGAGUUGGACUUUUCUUGGGGCUGCCAGCUCACAAAUAAUGACACGGAGACUUAUUAUUAGUUAUGAAAGCUUGGCCUUAGCUUAGACUUGUUCCUAACUAGUUCUUAUAACUGAAAUUAACCUAUAUGUAGUUGAAUUUCUAAGCAGUCUUAUUAAAUAAAAAAACACGGAGCCAACUAUAGGGGUGAAAGCCUUAGAAAUCAGGGAAAUAGUGAGAAACACCAACCAACCUUACCUCACCAGCUCUGCAGCUUCCAAAAUGCCACGACUUCCUGUCUAUCCAGGCUUAUAUGCCUUGCUGUUCUGCCCUCUCAAUGGCUCUUACCUCACUUCCUUUUCCUACAUGGCUCUGUCACUUUCUGUCUGUCUGUACAGAACUCCAGGUCUCUAUGGUUGGUACUGGGAUUAAAAGCAUGAGUCACCACACUGGGUUCUGUUCCCUAGUAUGGCCUUGAACACACAGAGACCCUGCCUGCCAAGUGAUCGGAUUAAGGGCAUAUGCUACUACUACCUGACUUUUUUGUUUACUUAAAAUGACUUGCUAUUUCCUCUGAUCUCCAGGCAAACUUUAUUUAUUAACAUACAAAUAAAAUAUCACCACAUUUCAGAACAAAUAAAAUAUCACCACACCUAUAUUUUUAAAUCUAUGUUCUUCCACAUGGCUCAUUACCUCAUCUCCAUACUGCCCAUCCUGCUUUCUCCACAUCUGGCUGGCAACUCCCUGCACACCUAGAUUCCUUCUCUUUUCCUUUCCCCAAAAAUUCUUCCCAUCCUCCCAUGCCCAGCUGUUGGCCAUUCAGUUUUUUAUUACACCAGUCACAGCAAUACAUCUUCACACAGUGUACAGAUAUUCUGCAACAGGGCCCAAAGUAUCUGGAUAGUGAUAUAACUUCAAUUUCAGUGAGAACUCUUUCUGUGUUCCCUUUAGGAAUGAUUCCCCAUUGGGAACAAAGACUUUUAAACUGGUGUGGAGAUAAUUUAUCUGUGUCCCCCAAUAAAAUCUGUCUGAGGAUAAGAGGAUAAAGGUCAGCCACUGUUAGUAAAAACAGAAGUCAUGCAAUGUUAACACAUGCCCUUAAUCCGUCUGAUCUCUGUGUAUUAAAGGCCACACUAGGGAACAGAGCCAAGCGUGGUGACACUGGCCUUUAAUCCAAGUACCAACCAUGGAGACCUGGAGGUCUGUACAGACAGGCAGUGACAAGGAAGUGAGGUAGCUAGGCUAAGAGCCAAUGAGAGGGCAGAAAAGCAAGGCAAUAAAGGCACGGGUAGACAGGAAGUAACACACUUUGGAAGCUGCGGCGUGAUGAGGUAAGGUUAGAUGGUGGCUGUUCUGAUUCCUCUGAUCUCUGUCAGAUUUUCACCCCUAUUUCUGGCUCCGUGUUUUUUAUUUAAUAAGACCGCUUAGAAAUUCGUCUACAAACUGGUGGCAUAUAGAUGUAAUUAAAGUGACAAGUUCCCCAAUUAGUCACUGGGUUGAUGAUAAGUAGGGAUAUUACCACUUCUAUGCUUCCAUACUCCCACUCUGGGUAUGCUCUUUUUAGCAAUACAGAACCAUACAAUGGUCAGUGAGUUAGGCCAUCACUGCCCCCUUCAGGUAUUGCUUUAUCUACACAGGUUAUCAUUUCCAAGCUGACUCUUCAGUCAUGCUGUCAGCUGGUUGCUCCAUUGCUUAUGAGGUCAGAAGGUUCCAGGUGGUAUACCAUGUGACAGGUCUGGUAGAUUCUGUGGAAAUGUCAGCAAGACUAUGUUUCCUUAAAAAAAAAAAAAGACUAUGUCUCCUUUGCUGUUAAGUGGGUCCCUUGUUCUGAUACAAUGAUAGGUGGAAUGCUGUGUGGGUAGAUCAGCUAUAACAUAAAUGGGUGAGAUUGUUCAAGCCUAGUCACCUGAAUUCAAUCUUUGGAAUCCAUGGAUGAAAGAGAAUUAGCUCCUGAAAGUUGUUCUCUGACCUCUACACACACACUGUGGUAUAUACGCAACCACGCACAGACACACAUACACACAUAUUAUAUAUGUGAAUAUAUAUAUAUAUACACAAUAAUAAAAUUUAAAAAUUAAUUAUAAACUAUAAGUUCUUGUAUCGUCAUAUUGGCUAAUAUCCUGAAGUUAAACUCAUAAAGAGUAUACUUGCCUGUUGUUUUAACUUUGGCACAGUGGCUGUGCCUUAAUCUACUGCUGUUUCAACCAGCAAUUGCGACUCCGUAGUUACUAGCCUGCUUCUCUGGCAGUGGCCCGGCGGCUCAGCUUACAGCCUUGUAGGAAUUCCAUUCUUAUCGGCACUGGUUGUGUUGCUACAGCUAAAGGUAGCUUUUAGCUUUAACUAAAUCUCUAUCGUUCUAUUUAUAAAUAAGACUUGAGAUUCAAAGGCUGGAGUGAAAACCUGCUAGCUCAGAGAAGUUGAAUAGCAGCUAGCUAGCCUUCUGUCCUUGCUGGUGUCUUCCCAAGAGAGCAC